GCUCCCGUGGCGGAAUAGGCAGACGCGUCGGACUCAAAAUCCGAUUCUUCGGAGUGCCGGUUCGAUCCCGGCCGGGAGUA
rnacentral:tRNA from 3 species